GAUGAACGCUGGCGGCGUGCCUAAUACAUGCAAGUCGAGCGAACGGACGAGAAGCUUGCUUCUCUGAUGUUAGCGGCGGACGGGUGAGUAACACGUGGAUAACCUACCUAUAAGACUGGGAUAAAUUCGGGAAACCGUAGCUAAUACCGGAUAAUAUUUUGAACCGCAUGGUUCAAAAGUGAAAGACGGUCUUGCUGUCACUUAUAGAUGGAUCCGCGCUGCAUUAGCUAGUUGGUAAGGUAACGGCUUACCAAGGCAACGAUGCAUAGCCGACCUGAGAGGGUGAUCGGCCACACUGGAACUGAGACACGGUCCAGACUCCUACGGGAGGCAGCAGUAGGGAAUCUUCCGCAAUGGGCGAAAGCCUGACGGAGCAACGCCGCGUGAGUGAUGAAGGUCUUCUGAUCGUAAAACUCUGUUAUUAGGGAAGAACAUAUGUGUAAGUAACUGUGCACAUCUUGACGGUACCUAAUCAGAAAGCCACGGCUAACUACGUG
rnacentral:rRNA from 1 species